rfam:Thermotoga maritima MSB8, complete genome.
UGACCCGACGGAGGCGCGCCCGAGAUGAGUAGGCUGUCCCAUCAGGGGAGGAAUCGGGGACGGCUGAAAGGCGAGGGCGCCGAAGGGUGCAGAGUUCCUCCCGCUCUGCAUGCCUGGGGGUAUGGGGAAUACCCAUACCACUGUCACGGAGGUCUCUCCGUGGAGAGCCGAUCGGGUCU